ensembl:lncRNA
CUGUGAUAAUGCAGGACAACAGAAUCUUCUUGUGUGAACAGGAGGAAAAAAAUGAAAUAAAAAAUUAGAUACGUCCUGAUUAAGGUACCCUCCCCAGACAGGGUUUCUUAGCUGAUGGACUAUUCAGAACAUACUGAACCUCAGUGAAAUAGAUGUGAUGUCUCAACAGGGAAAGGAUUACCUUCUUAACCAGCAGCACUCCAGCUGUUUUGGUGUUUUCUGGACAAAUAACAUGACUCUGAAGAUCAAUGACAUAUCUGCAAGCAAACAGCAGCAUUCUGUGUGGAUCAACAAAUGCUUGAAAAAUGUAAUCCAUUGAAACAAUUAGAGGAAUGUCAAGGGAGAACUUAAAAGGGUUGAACUGUAAUCCAAGCAAGGAAAUGGAAGAAGCAAAGAAAUUGAAGCAAAGAAAAAAAACCUGCAUGGAUCAUCUCACAGCCCUUCUCUCCUUACAGCCUCAGGAAUUCUACUGCCUACAAAUCUGAUGAGUUCGAGCAAGCUGACUCUCCUUUUUGUGAGAGGAGUGCAGAGUGCAAUCAACAGUACUGAAGCUUCAAAAAGAGCAACUGAACUCAAAAGAGAACAGUGAUGUUCUGCCAUAUAAAUUUAGUUCAACUUUCAGUAUAAUUUUGCCCAAUGAUCUUAAUCUUAUGCAUUCAACAUUAUGCUUUUUCUUGAGUGAUGGUUUUUUUACACCCCUUUUCUAAAAGUUGAUCUUACCACACACACACACAAAUGUUGCAAAACUUCUGAGACAAUUUAGUAGUUUCAAAUUAUGUCUGGUGUAGUUUUAAUUCACCAAAUAAAGUCAUCCAAAUGACAUUCAUUCUUCACUCUAGUAUUCUUCCCUGCAGAAUUACAUUUUAAUAAAAAACUACCUUCAGAAAAUCUCAAAAAUCCUAUCCCAUCAAAGCCCUAUUCUCUGUAAAUGAGCCAUGAAAUAAUAACAGAUAUUCUUUCCAUCCUACUCUCCAAGUAAAGGUAGAUUAAGAGGUGAUUAUGCUUCAUCAAUAUGGUACAAAUUUCACAUUUUUUUUUUUUCCCUAAAAGCUAAUUCAUUAAGACACUGGAUGUAUUGAACCAAAAAGGUAUGGUUUAUACAGACUAUGGCCUACUGCUAGUUGUCUUAUGAGCCUGAUUUAUGAAACAUAUCUGGC